rnacentral:misc_RNA from 1 species
UAACGCUCGCCGCUCUAAACGCAUGCAGCCGGCCUCUAGAGUGUUAGACUCGGAAUGGCUUGAUAAUGUCUUCUGACUUAUUAGCUAUCUGGAUCCAGCGUCUCCUUAGGCCAAGGCGCCAGACUGUUUGUGCCAGCGAAAGCGGCGCUCACACUCGACACCUUGAGCUCAAAUCAGGCAAGACUACCCGCUGAACUUAA